rnacentral:rRNA from 1 species
AUUGAACGCUGGCGGCAGGCUUAACACAUGCAAGUCGAGCGGGGGAAGGUAGCUUGCUACUGGACCUAGCGGCGGACGGGUGAGUAAUGCUUAGGAAUCUGCCUAUUAGUGGGGGACAACAUCUCGAAAGGGAUGCUAAUACCGCAUACGUCCUACGGGAGAAAGCAGGGGAUCUUCGGACAUUGCGCUAAUAGAUGAGCCUAAGUCGGAUUAGCUAGUUGGUGGGGUAAAGGCCUACCAAGGCGACGAUCGGUAGCGGGUCUGAGAGGAUGAUCCGCCACACUGGGACUGAGACACGGCCCAGACUCCUACGGGAGGCAGCAGUGGGGAAUAUUGGACAAUGGGGGGAACCCUGAUCCAGCCAUGCCGCGUGUGUGAAGAAGGCCUUAUGGUUGUAAAGCACUUUAAGCGAGGAGGAGGCUACUUUAGUUAAUACCUAGAGAUAGUGGACGUUACUCGCAGAAUAAGCACCGGCUAACUCUGUGCCAGCCGCCGCAGUAA